rnacentral:lncRNA from 1 species
CUGCUGCGCGGAAGUCGGCCAUGGACUGGAAAGAAGUUCUUCGUCGGCGCCUAGCGACGCCCAACACCUGUCCAAACAAAAAAAAAAGUGAACAAGAAUUAAAAGAUGAAGAAAUGGAUUUAUUUACAAAAUAUUACUCCGAAUGGAAAGGAGGUAGAAAAAACACAAAUGAAUUCUAUAAGACCAUUCCCCGGUUUUAUUAUAGGCUGCCUGCUGAAGAUGAAGUCUUACUACAGAAAUUAAGAGAGGAAUCAAGAGCUGUCUUUCUACAAAGAAAAAGCAGAGAACUGUUAGAUAAUGAAGAAUUACAGGUAAGAACAAAGCAAAAAGUUGCUUUAGAUGUUAACCAUUUCUCAUUUGUGCUACUUAAAUCAUGCAGGAUUUCUUGGUGCCUAAUGGAGUCCGUACUACAGAGUGGUACUACAUAGGCUCUGAAGCAGCAGUUCCCACCAGAAGCAGCCGCUGAGUUUGCAUGGGUCAUGUACCCCAAACAUAGUGUUGUUUGUUAUUUUUGUUUAAGGCCCUAGGUGAUUCUAAUGUGCAGCCAAGGUUGAGAACCACUGCUGUAGGGUCAGACUACAGAGGUUCAAAUCCCAGCCCUGCUAUAUGACUUUAGGCAAUGGACUUAACAUCUCUGUGCUUCGAUUAUCAUCUCUAAAGUAGGGAUAGCUAACUAUAUCAUAGAGAUGUGGAUUAAAGAGGCAGUGUAUAUCAAAAGCUUAGUAGGCACUCAAUAAAUGUUAUUUUUAUUGUUAGUAAUCAAAAGGAUAAUAGGGCAUGAGAUUCAUCUUAAUAUUGACUCUGCCAACAAACUCUCAUUUUAGUGGAAAGCACACAUUUAACUACAUAUUAAAAUCUUGUUGUUUUUAACUUACAACAUCUUCACUUCCACAAUUCUCUUAAGAACUUAUGG